AAAGAUAUUAAGGGCAUACGGUGGAUGCCUUGGCACAAGAAGUCGAUGAAGGACGUGACAAGCUGCGAUAAGCUGCGGUGAGCUGCACAUAGGCGUUAUUAACCGCAGAUUUCCGAAUGGGGCAACCCGGAUGAGGUAAUGCUCAUCCACUUCCAUCUGAAUCAAAUAGGAUGGCUAGAGACAACCCGGAGAACUGAAACAUCUAAGUACCCGGAGGAAAAGAAAUCAACCGAGAUUGCGCUAGUAGCGGCGAGCGAACGCGCAGAUAGCCUAAACCCAUGCAUGUGUAAGUUUCAGGACGUUGCUGCAUGUGGUGUCGUGGGGUCGUCUUUGUGGGAGCCUGUAUCUCCCAUGCGCAGUUACAAAAUCCAUUCAUAGUCGAAGUGGUCUGGAAAGUCCUACCAGAGAAGGUAAUAGUCCUGUAAGCGAAAUGAAUGGGUCUGCGUCGAGAUGAUACCCGAGUAAUGCCGGACACGUGAAAUCCGGUAUGAAUCCAGGGAGACCACUCUCUAAGGCUAAAUACUCUCUUGUGACCGAUAGCGAACCAGUACCGUGAGGGAAAGGUGAAAAGUACCCCGAGAGGGGAGUGAAAUAGUACCUGAAACCGUAUGCCUACAAGCAGUCGGAGCGCUCUUGCAGCGUGACGGCGUGCCUUUUGUAGAAUGAGCCAGCGAGUUACGAUGUGCGGCGAGGUUAAGUUUUGAAACGAGCCGUAGUGAAAGCGAGCCUUUAAGAUGGCGUCAUAGUCGUAUGUCGUAGACGCGAAGCCGGGUGAUCUAUCCAUGGGCAGGCUGAAGCAGAGGUAAGACUCUGUGGAGGGCCGAACCCACUUCGGUUGAAAACGGAGGGGAUGACCUGUGGAUAGGGGUGAAAGGCCAAUCAAACCCGGAGAUAUCUCGUUCUCCCCGAAAUAGCUUUAGGGCUAGCCUCGAAUCGUUUACUUACGGUGGUAGAGCCACUGGAUUCGUGCGGGGGCUUCACCGCCUACCAACCGAAACCAAACUCCGAAUGCCGUAAGUCUAUAGAUCGGGAGUCAGAACAUGUGGGCUAAGCCGUGUGUUCGAGAGGGAAACAGCCCAGACCGCCUGCUAAGGUCCCUAAAUUCAUGCUAAGUGGCAAAGGAUGUGCGUUUGCCUAGACAACCAGGAUGUUGGCUUAGAAGCAGCCAUGCAUUUAAAGAGUGCGUAACAGCUCACUGGUCAAGUGGACAUGCGCCGACAAUUCACGGGGCUCAAGCAUGAUACCGAAGCAGCGGACUGAUAUUUUUCAGUGGUAGGGGAGCUUUCUUAUCUGGGUCGAAGCUGUGUGGCAACGCAUGGUGGACUGGUAAGAAGUGAGAAUGCUGGCAUGAGUAACGAGAGUGAGGCGAGAAACCUCACCGCCGUAAGCCUAAGGGUUCCUGGGCAAGGCUAAUCCUCCCAGGGUCAGUCGGGAGCUAAGACGAGGCCGACAGGCGUAGUCGAUGCACAACAGGUUGAUAUUCCUGUACCACCACGAAUCGUUAUGACGAUGGGGUGACGGAGAAGGAUAGCUGGGCGGGGUUCUGGACGUCCCCGUGAAAGCGUGUAGGGUGCGCAUGCAGGUAAAUCCGCAAGCGCUUAUGCCUGAGACGUGAGACGAAGCUCUAAGUGAAGUCAGUGAUUCCCUGCUUCCAAGAAAAACCUCUAAGCAGAUAUCGUGGUGCCCGUACCGAAAACCGACACAGGUAGGCGGGUAGAGUAUACCAAGGCGAUCGGGAGAACUAUGGUUAAGGAACUCGGCAUAAUGACUCCGUAACUUCGGGAGAAGGAGUGCCGCUCAUGGGUGAUAGGGCAUGCCCCUAAAAGCCUAGGGCGGUCGCAGUGAAACGGCCCAAGCGACUGUUUAUCAAAAACACAGGACUCUGCUAAGUCGCAAGACGAUGUAUAGGGUCUGACGCCUGCCCGGUGCUGGAAGGUUACGUGGAUGGGUUAGCCUUUUUGGGCGAAGCUCUGAAACUAAGCCCCAGUAAACGGCGGCCGUAACUAUAACGGUCCUAAGGUAGCGAAAUUCCUUGUCGGGUAAGUUCCGACCUGCACGAAUGGCGUAACGAUUUGGGCGCUGUCUCAACCAUAGACCCGGUGAAAUUGUAUUAUUCGUGAAGAUGCGAAUUACCCACGGAAGGACGGAGAGACCCCGUGAACCUUCACUACAGCUUGACAUUGAUCAUUGGUUCUGUGUGUAGAGGAUAGGUGGGAGACCGUGAAGCACGAGCGCCAGCUCGUGUGGAGUCAUCCUUGGAAUACCACCCUCACAGUAUUGG
rnacentral:rRNA from 1 species